rnacentral:rRNA from 1 species
AGCAGUGGGGAAUAUUGGACAAUGGGCGCAAGCCUGAUCCAGCCAUGCCGCGUGUGUGAAGAAGGCCUUAGGGUUGUAAAGCACUUUCAGGAGUGAGGAAGGGUGUACGGUUAAUACCCGUAUAUUUUGACGUUAACUCCAGAAGAAGCACCGGCUAACUCUGUGCCAGCAGCCGCGGUAAUACAGAGGGUGCGAGCGUUAAUCGGAAUUACUGGGCGUAAAGCGCGCGUAGGCGGUUUGUUAAGUCGGAUGUGAAAUCCCAGGGCUCAGCCUUGGAAUGGCACCCGAUACUGGCAGGCUAGAGUACGGUAGAGGGGUGUGGAAUUUCCUGUGUAGCGGUGAAAUGCGUAGAUAUAGGAAGGAACACCAGUGGCGAAAGCGAC